AACCCUCAAACCCCAGUUUUGGAUUUCGAUCCAUGCUUGAGUUUGGAUUUGGAUGUUUGCCGGUGAUGAACCGACUCAUCUUAAAAGUCUUAGCUUGGAUCUGUCUAUAUGACUGGUUUGACUUGGCAUAAUAAGUAUUUCGCUAAGGACAUUCUUCGGAGUGGCCUCGUUUCUAGGACGCUUGUCCGCUUUCCAAUACAAGUUCCACCUCGUGGACAUGACUUUUUAUU
rnacentral:misc_RNA from 1 species